AAUCCCAUGUCUGGAGCCUUAGCCGGGGGAGUUGCAGGAAUGGGAAUGGGGCUAGUUGGGCACAAAGCAAACAAAAAGAUGCACAAGAAGAUGAAAAAGGCGCACAAACAUAAGCACUACAAACAUGGCAAGUCCUCCAGCAGCAGCAGCAGCAGCGACUCAGACUGAGGCGACUGGUUUGAAGCAUGGCUUUCGCAAAAAAGCUGUGUAACAACAGCACAGCGCAACUAUUAACUACUAACAGUUAACUGUCAAUGCAUUAAAGCAGUUCUUAUAGCCUUUUGCAGAUUUUUGCUGAGUCGCAGCAAAUCUCACAUGUUCAGUAUAAAUGUAUGACACUAGAAAUGCAUACAGCAGCUCUUUUUGUGUGUGUGUUACUGUCACAACUUUAAUCGGCACUGGGAUUCCACCUCAUGUUGAAUUUUACUUUGGUUUGUGGUUUUUAGGUGAAAUGUUGCAAUUUAUCUACUGUUACUAUUCUCUAAUAUUACAAUGACAAACAUGUAGAUAACUGAAAAAGAGACUGCAGCACUGUGCAGAUGAUUUUCUUAAUGUAAUUAAGUUAAAAGGGAUAUAGAAAAUAUAGUUAAUUAAGUAAAGGUAUACUGUCUAUAAUUGUUUUUUGUUUUUUAAUUUUAUUUUAUGAUCACUACUGUGCAUGGCUGCAGAAAAAAACUGUUGCUUGUUAAUAUUGUUCAUUUUAAAGUUAAAUAAAUUGUAUUAAUAAAUGGAGUUACAUAAAAAA